rnacentral:piRNA from 1 species
UGCUCUGUAGUCUUGAGAGUGCGUUUUGGU